rnacentral:rRNA from 1 species
AGGCGGAUUAAUACCGCAUAAGCCACCUACCCGGCAUCGGGUGUUUGGUAAAGAUUUAUUGGUUGUGGAUGGGGUUGCGGGUCAUUAGCUAGUUGGGUGGGUAACGGCUGCCCAAGGCGACGAUGACUAGGGGAGCUGAGAGGCUGGUCCCCCACACGGGCACUGAGAUACGGGCCCGACUCCUACGGGAGGCAGCAGUAGGGAAUAUUGGGCAAUGGGCGAGAGCCUGACCCAGCCAUGCCGCGUGCAGGACGAAGGCUUUCUGAGUCGUAAACUGCUUUUGACAGGGAAGAAUAAGCCUUACGUGUAGGGUGAUGACGGUACCUGCAGAAUAAGCACCGGCUAACUCCGUGCCAGCAGCCGCGGUAAUACGGAGGGUGCGAGCGUUGUCCGGAUUUAUUGGGUUUAAAGGGUGCGUAGGCGGCUUUAUAAGUCCGGGGUGAAAGCCCGUUGCUCAACAACGGAACUGCCCUGGAUACUGUAG